CCUACGGGCGGCUGCAGUGGGGAAUAUUGGACAAUGGGGGCAACCCUGAUCCAGCCAUGCCGCGUGUGUGAAGAAGGCCCUCGGGUUGUAAAGCACUUUCAGUGGGGAAGAACGCCUGGUGGUUAAUACCCAUCAGGAAAGACAUCACUCACAGAAGAAGCACCGGCUAACUCCGUGCCAGCAGCCGCGGUAAUACGGAGGGUGCGAGCGUUAAUCGGAAUUACUGGGCGUAAAGCGCGCGUAGGUGGCUUGAUAAGCCGGUUGUGAAAGCCCCGGGCUCAACCUGGGAACGGCAUCCGGAACUGUCAAGCUAGAGUGCAGGAGAGGAAGGUAGAAUUCCCGGUGUAGCGGUGAAAUGCGUAGAGAUCGGGAGGAAUACCAGUGGCGAAGGCGGCCUUCUGGACUGACACUGACACUGAGGUGCGAAAGCGUGGGUAGCAAACAGGAUUAGAUACCCUUGUAGUC
rnacentral:rRNA from 1 species